UACGAAGGUGGCAAGCGUUAUUCGGAUUUACUGGGCGUACAGGGAGCGUAGGCGGUUCGGUAAGCCCUCUGUGAAAUCUUCAGGCUUAACCUGGAACAGUCGGAGGGGACUGCUGGGCUAGAGGACGGGAGAGGAGCGCGGAAUUCCCGGUGUAGCGGUGAAAUGCGUAGAGAUCGGGAGGAAGGCCGGUGGCGAAGGCGGGUCUCUGGACAGUUCCUGACACUGAGGCACG
rnacentral:rRNA from 1 species